CAUGUGAAGAAGAACCGCAGCGAGUGUUUACUGAGAGACUCCGGAGAUUACACAACCCUCUGCUCUCACUGAGGAAAACUCGCGUUAGGGGAAUAUACUUGAUCUUUAUCAUUCCGUUAAAUCGGCAUGAAGUAUUUUAUAAACUGCACACUUCCCCCUUUAUUAAUAUAGCUUUAUUAGAGUUUAGUUUAUUGAGGCGCUGGACAGGAGCUGUCAGUGACCGGUGUGAUGAGAACUCGGACACUGCUGCUGCUUCCUCCUGUAACUAGAGAGAGACUGGUUCACCUUCAGACUCCUCGGCCUGAUAUCCAUAGGAAUAGUGACAUAAAUAAUAGAGCUGAUAAAAUAAAUAAAUAAAGCUGGGUUUAAGUGUGAGUUUCAGAGCUCCUGUCUAACUCUUAGCUUUUGUCCACAUCCUGACCCAGAAGAUGUCCUGUCCAUGCAGAUCUGCGGCCAGGAGACUCUUCAGUCCAGGACACAGAGGUUUUUCACUCUUACACGUUAGGUUCUAUGCUCUCAGAAGAACUUCGACUCGUGAAGCCCACCUUCCUCCAGCACUGCAGGUCAGAUUGUUCUCAGAGAGUGCUGUGUGUUUUGCCGUAAAGGACAGCACUCCGAAAGACGGCUCUGGGGAUGUGGGAAAGCAGAAGAAUGCAGCAGACCCUGGGAAGAGAUCUGUAGGUUCAGGAGGAUCAGGGAAAGGAGGGAGUCAGCUACGUUGCCCCAGAUGUGGAGACACGUGCACACAUGUGGAGACAUUUGUGUCAUUCACACGUUUUGUGAAAUGUGAAAAAUGUCAUCACUUCUUUGUGGUGCUUUCUGAAAGCGACUCUAAGAAAGGUCUGCAUAAAGAGGCAGAAUCUCUGAAACUGGAGGCAGAAGCUGUUAAACUGGCAUUUGCUCAGAACCCCCCCCCACCCCCUAAAAAGAUCUAUGCCUACCUCGAUAACUACGUUGUUGGUCAGUCAUAUGCGAAGAAGGUGCUGUCAGUUGCAGUGUAUAACCACUACAAACGAAUCUACAGCAACCUUCCAGCAUCAAGUGGACAGCAGGUGGGGACAGAGAAGCAGAGCUCUCUCACUGCCCAGGAGCCAGAGAUCAGAAGAAGGGAAGAUGAAUACAGAUUUACAAAGCUUCAGAUCACUGGGAUCAGCCCACAUGGCAAUGCUCUUGGUGCGUCCAUUCAACAACAGGCUACUCAACAAACUACAGUGGAGAAGAGGGGUAGUGACGUGCUGAACCUCUCCCACAGUACCAUCAAACUGGAGAAGAGUAACAUUGUGCUGCUAGGACCGACUGGAUCGGGUAAAACACUUUUAGCACAGACUCUGGCUCGGUGUUUGGAUGUUCCCUUUGCCAUCUGUGACUGUACCACGCUGACCCAGGCCGGCUACGUAGGUGAGGAUAUUGAGUCGGUCAUUGCCAAGCUGCUGCAGGAUGCCAACUACUCAGUGGAGAAAGCCCAGCAAGGGAUAGUGUUUCUGGAUGAGGUGGAUAAGAUUGGUAGUGUUCCAGGAAUACACCAGCUCAGAGAUGUAGGAGGAGAAGGUGUCCAGCAGGGUUUGUUGAAGCUUAUGGAAGGCACCAUUGUGAACGUUCCAGAAAAGAACAGUAGGAAGUUGCGAGGUGAAACAGUGCAAGUGGACACAACCAACAUCCUGUUUGUGGCAUCGGGAGCCUUCAAUGGUCUGGACCGGAUCAUUAGCAGAAGGAAGAAUGAGAAGUACCUUGGAUUUGGCUCGCCAUCUAACCUGGGGAAGGGCCGGCGUGCGGCAGCGGCCACUGACCUGGCCAAUAGCUCAGGCAGUGAGCUGGAUGUGGUGGCUGAGAUGGAGGAGAAGGAUCAGCUCUUGAGACAUGUAGAGGCACGAGACCUCAUAGAGUUUGGCAUGAUUCCUGAGUUUGUAGGGCGUCUCCCCGUUGUAGUGCCUUUGCACAGCCUGGACGAGCAAACACUAGUGCGCAUUCUCACUGAGCCUCGGAAUGCUGUUGUGCCUCAGUACCAGGCCCUCUUCAGCAUGGAUAAGGUCCUCUCUCUUUCUGCAUUUCUCUUCUUCUGUCUCACAUACACAGACAAAACAUACCUUUUUCUGCUGAAAGGUCAAGUGGACCGUUUCAGUAAACCUGUACUCACUGUAGCCUCAGAUACUGUUGUAGCUCAUCUGCCUCCAAAUUCAAUGCUUUUAUGCUCACCACGUUUGUAAAGAGUGGAUAUUUUCACACACUACUGGUUGUGAAAAUCCAAGGAGAUUAUCAGAUUCUGAAAUACCCUGACCAGCCUGUUUUUCACCACCCCAACAUGGUCAAAGUCAAUGAGGCCACUCUCCAUUCUGAUGUUUAAUAUGAACUUAUUAUGUGUUACACUGCUGCCACAUGAUUGGCUGAUUGAAUAAUUGCUUUAAUGAAUAUGCGUACAGGUGUACUAAAGUGGUCUGAGAGCGUAUAUGUCAUAACCUUACCUGUAACAGUGUGGAAAAUAUUUAGAUGCACUUCUUCUAUCUCUGUAUAUGCUAUAGUAAUGCAGGAGGUAGAUCUAGAUGUAAAAAUAACCACCAAUUCUCUUUGCGUUUUUUGUCAUCCGUUAUAUAAGCUGUGAUGUCUGAUACCCUGUGUUUCAGUGUGAGCUGAAUGUGACUCCAGAUGCACUCGGGGCCAUUGCCAGACUGGCUCUUGAGAGGAAGACUGGAGCCAGAGGCCUCCGAUCCAUCAUGGAACAGAGCUUUAAAUAAAGAGACCUCAGAGGAGGAGUAUGACAGUGGGAUUGAAG